rnacentral:rRNA from 1 species
AUUGAACGCUGGCGGCAAGCCUAACACAUGCAAGUCGAACGAGUGGCGGACGGGUGAGUAAUGUCUGGGAAACUGCCUGAUGGAGGGGGAUAACUACUGGAAAAGGUAGCUAAUACCGCAUACCAUCGGAUGUGCCCAGAUGGGAUUAGCUAGUAGGUGGGGGAAAGGCUCACCUAGGCGACGAUCCCUAGCUGGUCGGAGAGGAUGACCAGCAAAACUGGAACUGAGACACGGCCCAGACCCCUACGGGGGGCAGCAGGGGGGAAUAUGGGAAAAUGGGCGCAAGCCUGAUGCAGCCAUGCCGCGUGUAUGAAGAAGGCCUUCGGGUUGUAAAGUAUUUUCAGCGGGGAGGCGUUACCCGCAGAAGAAGCACCGGCUAACUCCGUGCCAGCAGCCGCGGUAAUAC